rnacentral:miRNA from 1 species
UGAGGUAGUAGGUGGUAUGCUU